AACAAGGAAAAGGAAAAUAAAACAAAACAACAAAGAAAGCUGAACGUCAGAAACAAAUGUCCCCCAAAAACAUACCAAGAACCAGUUACAACCCUCCAUUCUCCGAAAAUCAGAAAUUUAAGGAGCCAUCAACAAUACCCAGAGGAGAGCGAAGCUUUAGUGAUAACAUCGGAGCAAAAGAGUUAAAGAUUUUUGAUGAACUAAAGCCAAAGAAGACUAAUGCAAAGAGAAGCAAUUUGAUCUGUCAAUCGCCGCCACCUGUUCCACUUCCUCUAGUGCAUCCUCAAUCCAAAAUUUUCCUUCAGAAAAUUGGCCUCCCUUUUUAGCCAAGUUUCCCUAAAUCUGGACGCGAUAAAAGCCAAUCUCCUGAGCAAACCAAAUCGCCUACUUGCAUGCUCGGGCUUCUGCAACAAAAGUGUCGACAAUAUUAAAAUGAAGCUUCGACAUAGGGGGCAUAGAGAGUCAUAAAGAAGUCCAAGUUUGGCUUAUUACUCGGCAAAAUCGCAGCAGUUGGUCAACAGAUUCUAGAUCUAUAUGGUACAACGGGCAAAGAGUAUGAGAAAAAAUAUGGCUUUUAUUUAGGUUAGAAUACGCAAACAUAAAGUUGUUGUAAAACUUCCACAUUGUAAUUUUGAUCUUCUCUGAAAGUUGUAGUGCCCAUAAUUCUGAGAAGAAAUCUUUUUCAGAGAGAGCCAUAGGAUUAGACAAAGCUUGUUGUAAAUCUGACUUUCCUUGUACUAGUAGCUUAUAGCACUCUUCAUAAUUUACAUACCAGAUCCUUCCAGUCUUCAGAUCUUAGUAUCAGGAGUUGGUGACUUGGCCAGAGGUAUAGACAGAAUGGCUUGCACUUGAUUCUCCAUUGCAAUCUCCCAGAUGACUGUAUCAUCCCAAGUACCAUUUUCAUGAUAAAUUAGUUGUGAUAUUGUCAUAUACUUUAUAUCAAUUCCUUGACAUCAAAUCUAUCCAUCGCUAGGUCCUAGGAUCCACAUAUCUUUCCAGAUAUUCACAGACUCUCCAUCACCAAUACGCCAAACCAUGCCUUUCUCCAACAAGCCUCGUGCACUCAUUAUGUUUCUCUAGGUAACAGAAGGGUAAGAACCUAAACCCAUAGAUAAGAAAUUUGUAUGAGAAAAAUAUCGUGCUUUUAAAACUCUAGCUAACAAACAGUCUGGUUGGGACCAAAUCCGCCAGCAUUGUUUAGCUAAUAAGGAUAAAUUAAACAAGGCUAAACCACAAAAACCUGUGCCCCCAACGGACUUAGGCAGGCAUAAAAAUUUCUAAAAACUCCAAUGAAUGCCUUUUAACGUUUUCAAAUUUCUCCACUGAAAGUUAUUAAGCACAUUUUCUAAUUUAGAAUAAAAAAUUUUCGGGAAUAGAAAACACUACAUUGCAUAGAGUGGUAGAGCUUGCAAAACAACCUUAAUAAAAAUUUCUUUCCCACCCAUAGAUAGGAAACGCAGAUUCCAAUUGUCCAAUCUACUACGAAUUCUAUCCACAUAAUACACGAAAGUCCUCUUUUUGCUCCUCCCCACCAUCAUAGGCAAGCCAAGAUAUUUUUCAGGGUUCAAAGACUCUCAAACUCUCAAAGUACUACUUACGAUGCUUCUAUCCCCUUCUGCCACAUUAGCCUCGAAGUAUAUCAACGACUUAUCAUAGUUAACCAGUUGACCAAAAGCUCUCUCAUAUUUUGAUAUCACCUGAUAAAUAUUAUUUGCUCCUCUCGUAGCUUCCCUAAAAAGGAUGCUAUCAUCAGCAAAAAAAAAAAGUGAUUAAUGGUCAUAUGCCCUCUCCCUAUUUCAACCCUCUGUAUCAAAUUGUUCUCUUGAGCAUCUAUCAGAAUUGCUAAUAAUCCUUCAACACAUAGCAGAAAGAGAUAAGGACUAAGUGGGUCUCCCUCUUGUAAUCCUUUUGAUGGCACAAAAAUAUCACUACAGCCACCAUUGAUGCCCACUGUGUAUGUUACAAAAGUAACACAUCUUAUGAUCAAAGUCAUCUAGUUUGCAUGAAAGCCCAGCUUUAACAUCAUCCCUAUUGACACCAUUUUUUUGACAAAACGGGGUCGACUUGGAUUUUGAAAACGAAAACGAAUAUGGGAGUCGCCACCAAUCUUUUUUGAUAAGGUGUGAUCGGAUCACCUUAAAAAGUGGUUAUUUUUAAUAAAUGAUUUAAUUUUAUUAAAACAACGACUUUGGUCCACGGAAUUCAAAAAAAUGGGUUCGGGAGUCGGUUACGUACGGGGAAAGAUUAGCACCCUCAUAACGCCCAAAAAUUGGUACCUAGUUGAUUAGUUAAUGUCUUAAUGUCAAAAAUUGAAAAUUUUGAAGAAUUUUAAAAAUACGAUCCUAAAAACUUUCGAACAAUAUGGGUUGGAAUUUAAGGUUCUCUUGUUCCAAAAGAAUAUCACAUCCAGCACAUUAGGAUACGAUAUUUUAAAUUCUCAAAACCAAUAUCACCUUAUGGUUUCCAAAACCCAUACUUUGAAACUUUACGAGGGUAUUUGGCUAUUUGGCUAAACGAGAAAUCAAAACCCAUCACAUUAGGGCACGCUUUUUUGAAUUUCCAAAUGUAAAAUACUGCCUUUAUUAUUUUUUAGAAAAAUUCUUAUCUCGAGAAAUCAACGUGUCAUAUCCAAUGCAUUAGGACACAACAUAUUGAAUUCCCGAUAAUGAGCUUUUUAUUUAUGUUUUGAUUAAAGAGUAUUCUCGAUUAUUUAGAUUCAACGAAGAAAAUUAGAAUCCAAUACGUUAGGGCUCAAUCCUCUCGAAGAUCCUAAAUACCGAGCAUUACCUUUAUUUUCAAAAUUUUCUUUUUUUGAAUUUGGGUAAAAAUUGAUGACGGAAUAACAAUUAUGAUAAUGCAAGUGAAAAUAUAAUAAUAAUAAUAAUAAUAAUAAUAAUAAGGUAAGUAAUAAUAAUAAAUGCAAUAAUAAUAAUAAAACUAAUUAGUUUACUAAUAAUAAUAAUAACAAGAACGGGACUAAGUUGAAAAUAAAACAAAAUCCCAGGGGAGAAAUCACAAAUAAAAUAAGGCAAAGGAUUAAUUUGUGAUGCGCGCGAAAGGAGGGGGACCAAAAAGGAAAUAUCCCACCCUUCAAAAAGCAUCACUUUACGUGGGACUAAAAUGAAACAAAAAUAAAAUUAUGCAGCUAAAUUGAAAUAAAAGGAAAGAAAUAAAAAUGGGCAAAUUGCAACGCGUUGCAAAGGCAAAGGGACCGCAUGCGCAAAUAUCCCUUAUUAAGAAAACAUGCAGAUCCUCUCCCUAGGGUCGGGUCACUGUUUUGGCCCUGACCCUUAAUAAAAAAAUGAUGCCAUUUGAUAACCUUUAUUUAAAAUAAUUUUUUCUUAAAAAAAUCAUUUUUUAGGGUUUUAGAAAAAAAACUACAGAGGAAGAAACUCUCCUCUCAACUCUCCUGUUGUCGGCCGAAUGGGCCACCAUCUGCCCCACUAUGGGCGGUGGUAGAAGGCCAAAAGUCAAUUUUUUUAAACCCUGCUUCAAGAGCCAUCUGAAGACUGAGUUUUCAUGACCCUAGAGCCGUAGGAAGAAACCCUAAACUCUGCCUUCCCUGUCUACUUUCGGUGACCCGAAGAAGGACUUCGGCGAUGACACUUACACGACGAUUCAGGUACUUGAUGGUGGCAAGUGGCGGUGGGUAGGUGACAAAGGGUAGGGAGUAGGUGCAGAUGGGACGUGAUGAAUACCAGUAGCAGAAGCAAGUGGGGGUGCGGCGCUAGGGCGGUGGCAGAGACUAGGGUUCUAAAACCCUAGUUUUCAUUGGGUUUGGGCCAUGUUUGGGCCUAUUUUUGUAAAUGGGUUUUGGGUUUUAUUUUGGGUAUUGGGUUUUGCUGGGCUAAGUUUGUAAUUGGACUGAGUUUAGUUUGUUAGGUUGGAGUAUUUUGGGUUAAUAUUUUUGGCACUAGGCCCAGGUAAAAUUGGGUCUAUACAGCUACCCCUCUUUACUAGUUGUCGUGUAAUGAGAACAAAAUAAAUACUAAGAAAGACCAAUUUUUCCCGGUCUCGCCAAAUCUUGACUUCUUUGGGUUCUUCUUUUCUUCAAGUAGCUUCAUUCCAGUCCACUGUGUCUUGUUACUUCAAUCUGCUUCACUGCACUUCAGAGAGAUCUGACUUGUAGCUUCAAUCUUCUUCGCAGCUACUUCAAAGGGAUAAGGUUCGUGGUUUUAGCCUGUUCUACUGUAACUUCAGGGAAAUAAGAUUUUGUUAUGGUGUGACUUGCUCUCCUGCAACUUCAAAGAAAUAAGGCUUGAUAUCUUCAGUCUACUCCACUGCAACUUCGGGGAGAUAAGAUCUGCUAUCUUCAGUAUGCUACACUACAACUUUAAGAAAAUAAAGUCUGAUGCGAUCCGUUCUACUGCAACUUUAGAGAGAUAAGAUCCAUCAUUUUAAUCUGCUCCACUAU